UAGGGAAUCUUCGGCAAUGGGGGGAACCCUGACCGAGCAACGCCGCGUGAGUGAAGAAGGUUUUCGGAUCGUAAAGCUCUGUUGUUAAGGAAGAACGAGUGUGAGAAUGGAAAGUUCAUACUGUGACGGUACUUAACCAGAAAGGGACGGCUAACUACGUGCCAGCAGCCGCGGUAAUACGUAGGUCCCGAGCGUUGUCCGGAUUUAUUGGGCGUAAAGCGAGCGCAGGCGGUUAGAUAAGUCUGAAGUUAAAGGCAGUGGCUCAACCAUUGUAGGCUUUGGAAACUGUUUAACUUGAGUGCAGAAGGGGAGAGUGGAAUUCCAUGUGUAGCGGGGAAAUGCGUAGAUAUAUGGAGGAACACCGGUGGCGAAAGCGGCUCUCUGGUCUGUAACUGACGCUGAGGCUCGAAAGCGUGGGGAGCGAACAGG
rnacentral:rRNA from 1 species